AUAUAUAUAUAUAUAAUAAGUGAGAGUUCACUUGGACGACGAAGGGUAACUUCGAAAAUUCACUUUUGAGUCCAUAUCUAAUGUUCCAUGCAUUUUAAAUGCUCUAUCAGAUUAGUACGUGCCAAAUUCUAAACACCACGUAGGGUUAAAAUCAUUCUUCUGGCCUCUUCUCUCAUAUUUUCAGUUCUCACUCCAUUUCUCUCCCAUUUUGCUUAUUUUUUUUUUCCCUCCCUCUAAACACCACCAGGUUGUUGUUCUACUUUUCCUCCUUCCAUGUUUACUCUCUUUAUUUUUGCUGGGAUGGACCAAACAAUUGGAAGGUUCUAAAUACACGAAGAGAAUUGCAUAUAAAUUGGUUGAUACUAAUCCCCGACCGCCUCAUACUGAGAGAAAUCGGAUAUGAGUCAUAUCCGGAGAAAAUAUGGAUCGGAGGAAGAAAAGGGCCGGGAGUUCGCACGAGGGGCGUCACACCUUCCCGAAUAAGCGCUUUAAUCGAAGCUGAGCAGAGGCGCCCUUUGGUCCGGUCUCUGUGCCACCGAUGGUUCGGGGACACUUCCCGAGGGUUCAUCACUGUUGAUCCGGACACCGUUUGCCCGUGUAUCCGUUGGUCCGUUAUGACCGUUGCUGAAGCGCACCAGUGGUGUCACGUCAUGGUCGGCCACCAACUAUGCGUGUGUCAGACGGCGCCGUCAGUCCAAUCCCACCAAAUCCGUGCAGGGGCUGUCCUUUUUUAUUGUUAUUUUAUUAAUUCAUAUUGUAUGAGGCUCAUGGGCUCACUGCUAUAAAUAGGGCAUAUCUACCUCCCUUAAGGGGGUUGAGCUCUUCUUACUUUCCAAGAACAUUUGUAACAAAGGAACUCUUGUAUACUAAUUCUUCCAUCAUUUAAUUCGGCCAAGGACGCAUGUCAUUGUGAUUA